GACGAACGCUGGCGGCGUGCUUAACACAUGCAAGUCGAACGGAAAGGCCCUGCUUUUGUGGGGUGCUCGAGUGGCGAACGGGUGAGUAACACGUGAGUAACCUGCCCUUGACUUUGGGAUAACUUCAGGAAACUGGGGCUAAUACCGGAUAGGAGCUCCUGCUGCAUGGUGGGGGUUGGAAAGUUUCGGCGGUUGGGGAUGGACUCGCGGCUUAUCAGCUUGUUGGUGGGGUAGUGGCUUACCAAGGGUUUGACGGGUAGCCGGCCUGAGAGGGUGAACGGCAAAAUUGGGACUGAGAGACGGACGAGAGUGCUACGGGAGGCAGCAGUGGGGAAGAGUGCAGAAGGGGCGGAAGCAUGAUGCAGCAACGACGCGGGCGGGAUGACGGCCUUCGGGUUGUAAACCGCUUUAGCCUGUGACGAAGCGUGAGUGACGGUAAUGGGUAAAGAAGCACCGGCUAACUACGUG
rnacentral:rRNA from 1 species